CAGUGUUCGCUGCCCUCCGGGGUAGCAAACCUCACCCUUGUGUAUUAUAUCUUUGUUGCUUUGGCACGCCUCCCAUUGCCAGACAAUGGGUACGGGCUCCGGCUCGAGAGCGCGUGUCAAGGGACCCCUAAACUCCUAAAUAUAUCAGCGUCGUCCGAGUACUAUAUAUAAUAGUGA
rnacentral:misc_RNA from 1 species